UGUCUGCUCUGUGUUUUUAGUCUUAUGUGCCAAGAACCUUGCAAAGAAAGACUUCUUCCGGUUGCCGGACCCAUUUGCAAAGGUCGUGGUGGAUGGAUCAGGACAGUGUCAUUCUACAGACACAGUGAAGAGCACUCUGGACCCCAAAUGGAACCAACACUAUGACCUGUACAUAGGGAAGACAGACUCCAUCACCAUCAGUGUGUGGAACCAUAAGAAGAUCCACAAGCGGCAGGGCGCCGGGUUCCUGGGCUGUAUACGACUGCUGGCUAACUCCAUCAGCAGACUGAAAGACACGGGCUACCAGCGGUUGGAUCUGUGUAAGCUGAAUCCAUCAGACAGU